rnacentral:rRNA from 1 species
GAAGAUAAUGACGGUAACCGUAGAAGAAGCCCCGGCUAAGUUCGUGCCAGCAACCGCGGUAAGACGGGGGGGGCUAGCGUUGUUCGGAAUUACUGGGCGUAAAGAGUGCGUAGGCGGUUUAGUAAGUUGGAAGUGAAAGCCCGGGGCUUAACCUCGGAAUUGCUUUCAAAACUACUAAUCUAGAGUGUAGUAGGGGAUGAUGGAAUUCCUAGUGUAGAGGUGAAAUUCUUAGAUAUUAGGAGGAACACCGGUGGCGAAGGCGGUCAUCUGGGCUACAACUGACGCUAAUGCACGAAAGCGUGGGGAGCAAACAGGAUUA